UACGUAGGUGGCAAGCGUUGUCCGGAUUUACUGGGCGUAAAGAGCGCGCAGGCGGUCGUUCAAGUCGCGUGUGAAAGCCCCCGGCUCAACUGGGGAGGGUCACGCGAUACUGAUCGACUCGAAGGCAGGAGAGGGAAGUGGAAUUCCCGGAGUAGUGGUGAAAUGCGUAGAUAUCGGGAGGAACACCAGUGGCGAAGGCGACUUCCUGGCCUGUUCUUGACGCUGAGGCGCGAAAGCUAGGGGAGCAAACGGG
rnacentral:rRNA from 1 species